AACCCAUGGUGAGUGCACCUUCUCAAUAGAUCUUUGUAUCUUUCCCAUGCAUCAUAAAGUGUUUCUAAAUCUAUCUGCACAAAAAAAGAGAUAGCAUUCCUUAAUUU
rfam:Gossypium hirsutum cultivar TM-1 unplaced genomic scaffold scaffold3050.1, whole genome shotgun sequence